AUGAACAAUCGACAUAAACAAAAUAGGUGUAUAUAUAUAUAUUUAUAUAUAUAUAUAUAUAUAUAUAUAUCUGAAUCAUUUUGCUGUGUAGCAGUUAACAUUGCAAAUCAACUAUACUUCAAUUUAAAUAAAUUAAUUAAACAAAUAAAUCCCUUUGUGUCAUUCAGAUUUUUCAAACUGAAGCAUCUACAAAACAAACAAAUCUUGCUUAAGUUGGCUAUCUCACUCCCCUGACUUUUUUUAAGGUAUAACAAAAUUUUUAAAAAUCUCCUUUUAAAUUCUCCCAAAGAUCCUACAAGGUAUGAGAGGAGAAAAGGCAAGGGCUAGGGAUGAACAAAAUUCCAUCUUGACACAAAAAUUGUUGAAAGGUCUAAAUUCACUCGAAUGACAAGAGUGAGCAUUUUUUAAAAAGGAAUGGACAGGGAGACUGGGAGCAGUAUGCAGAAGGAGCCCUGGCCCAGGAGUCAUGAAAUUUUGGUUCUAAAUACAUCUUUGUCCCUAACCAGCUGCGCAACCUUGGAUAAGCUGUAUCAGUUUGUUUGAUACCAGUUUCUUCAUCUUUGAAGUGAGGGGAUUGGAUUGAGUGAUGGCCAAGAUUCCUUUGAUCUCUACUUUUCAAUGUAGCAUCUAAAAUAAAAUGAACCAGAAAGCUGUUGUGAAAUAAUAAUGCAUUUCACCAGAAAGUUAGACACAAACUAGGUUGAGUUAAUGCAUGAAAACAAGAAAGUAAAAAAACCAAUGUUUAAUAAUGAUAACUGAGUAAUAAUAAUAAAAUAAAAGACCAAGAAAUUAAAGACCAAAAAAUGGUUGAUUGUAUACUGUUCUCCUUAAAAAGAUUUUAAUUCUCUACCAAGUGGCCAUCCACUAUCCAUAAUUAUCAGUUACUAGUAAAAUAUGCAAUUGGGACAAGGCAUGUUCCAUUCUGCAAUAUAUUAUCAUUUAAAAAUUGUUUUCUAAUAAAAGUAUCAAUUAUAAGGUCAACCACCAACAUUUUUAUUCUACACAAUGGUAGGUAGGUCUGAAAUAAAAUUAGGCCAGUGUGAAUAAUUUCCUUCCUGGCAGGUUAUGGAAUUUAGUGUACAUGGUAUUUUCCAUCUUUGAAGUUAACAGGUACUUAUGUUUGUUUUAUGUCAACUCAUCUGCCCCCAGUGUUUCAAACUGAAAAAAAGACAAAGCUGCCUGUAGCGACCGUUCCCUCCAUGCCUCUACCAGACCAGAAGAGAGAAUCGCUGGGGCACAACGGCACUGGACUCUUGGGAAGUGUGCUUUGGGGGAGGCCCACCCAACAAUAAUAUAAUGGCAAAGAUAACAUUCCUCUGUGUUUUAGAAUCAUCUGGAUCAGUAGAAAUGCUUCACUCAGUCUGCAUGGACACCACCCCUCUCAGUCUGUAAUUAAGGAUGCCCUUCUGCAUCUGGUCCUUGAAGACCUGACCUCUUCUGAAGGACUAUCACUUGCCUUCUGGGAAUCACCCUUCAUCAACCCAAACCAUGUGUGUAGGGGAAUGCCUCAGCCAGGGGACUGCCUUGGCCAGGAGGACCAUUUUCUGUGAGGAUGCUACAGUUUGAAGGUUCAUCUCAUUAUCUUCCUUCUGUAGCUCUCUCCUAGCCUCAGGUACCAAUGGCCUCUAUGCCAAAAAUCACAUUUAAAAAUAAUAUUUUGAUCCUUUGUCCUGAACUCCCCAAGCCUGACUUAUUUACCAUUGAAAGAAUUCACCUUCAUUAAAUAGCAUUCAUUACCUUGGAGAACCCAAGUCCCAUCAUUUUGUGUCCACCAUGUCCCAGAUGAGGGACAUGAAAGGCACCAAGAAGUCUGAAGUGUCAGAAUCCUUAAGUAGAUCAACGGACAAAUCUGAGGGAGACUGUUUCCUCCCGCUGCUCUCCACUAGUCAGUAGGACUUGUUUACUUUUA
ensembl:lncRNA